rnacentral:rRNA from 1 species
UGGAAACGACUGUUAAUACCGCAUAAUGUCUACGGACCAAAGUGUGGGACCUUCGGGCCACAUGCUGUCGGAUGCGCCUACGUGGGAUUAGCUAGUUGGUGAGGUAAUGGCUCACCAAGGCGACGAUCCCUAGCUGGUUUGAGAGGAUGAUCAGCCACACUGGAACUGAGACACGGUCCAGACUCCUACGGGAGGCAGCAGUGGGGAAUAUUGGACAAUGGGCGAAAGCCUGAUCCAGCCAUGCCGCGUGUGUGAAGAAGGCCUUCGGGUUGUAAAGCACUUUCAGUAGGGAGGAAGAGUUGAGUGUUAAUAGUACUCAGCUUUGACGUUACCUACAGAAGAAGCACCGGCUAACUCUGUGCCAGCAGCCGCGGUAAUACAGAGGGUGCAAGCGUUAAUCGGAAUUACUGGGCGUAAAGCGCACGCAGGCGGUUGGUUAAGUCAGAUGUGAAAGCCCCGGGCUCAACCUGGGAAUUGCAUUUGAAACUGGCCAACUAGAGUACGUGAGAGGGGGGUAGAAUUCCAAGUGUAGCGGUGAAAUGCGUAGAGAU